GGCCAAGAAAGCUGGCGGCAGGCCUAACACAUGCAAGUCGAGCGGAUGACGGGAGCUUGCUCCUUUUUUCAGCGGCGGACGGGUGAGUAAUGCCUAGGAAUCUGCCUGGUAGUGGGGGACAACGUUUCGAAAGGAACGCUAAUACCGCAUACGUCCUACGGGAGAAAGCAGGGGACCUUCGGGCCUUGCGCUAUCAGAUGAGCCUAGGUCGGAUUAGCUAGUUGGUGAGGUAAUGGCUCACCAAGGCGACGAUCCGUAACUGGUCUGAGAGGAUGAUCAGUCACACUGGAACUGAGACACGGUCCAACUCCUACGGGAGGCAACAUGGGGAAUAUUGGACAAUGGGCGAAACCCCGAACCA
rnacentral:rRNA from 1 species